UACCAAAAGCUUCUAAAACUGGAUUAGACUGGAAAGAGAAUAAUUUAGAACGGUGGAAGCAUUUAUUCGAAGUAGAUAAAAUCAGAGCUACUCCGCUCUCCCCACUGACCAAAAUAGACUGGCUUCUUGCCUCAUUUAUCAUCGCCCUGCAAACAGAUGCGGGCUUAGCUCUCCAAAUGCAGCUCCUUUAUAUUGCUCCAUCAUAUGGACACUAUACAAAUGCGGAAGUCUUUGGAAUGGAUUCACCGCGAUCAAGAUGUUUCCGGUCAAAACGGCAAUCGAGAUUGUGGAGGACCCCUGGCUCAUGGAGUGACUAUUUUGGCAUUGGUGCCUAUGAUUUCAAUCACUUCUCCACUAAUCCAUGCGAGUUCUGGAUCCUCGACCCAGACAUGUGACCCGAGUGUGAUAUUUACAGGAGUCCCCUAUUCAUCAAAACAAGCCUUUCAAUAGUCUCAUCUUAGAAGAAAAGAUAGAAUAUGUAGCAGAAAGUUCUUGGGAAGGCUUACCAUAUUUCAGAGCUCUUCCAAGCUCUUACGCUGAGAAUCUGCAGUAGUUGAAGUAAAGAGAAGGUAAUUUAGAUAGAGAAGAUUAAGCUCUUUGAGGUAGAGAGAGAGACAGAGAUGAAUCACAAAAAGAAAUGAAAAGGCGACUCUGAAUCCAAGAAAAGCCAUAGGAUAUUCUUAUCUAGAAUAUGACCUUUCCCUCACCUCUAUUCUCCUCCAAGUCUGUUCACUGUUUUUGCAGGUUUUAGAGCUUAAGAUGCAGCAAUGGCGGCACAUCAACUUCUUUCAGAUAUUCUCUCUUGGGUCAUUUGCUUUGAAAACCAUGCUUGAGCUUAAGGUCACUCUACAUAUUUUUCUCCUUUUCAAAGCUUUAUGAUGCUUCCUUUUGAGUAUGAAUGGGGUCCUCGUAGGUUAAAAAGAAUGUGAAAUUGCUGCUUUUCGAACUUUAAAGUUGUCUGCUUUACAUUUUGAUAUUGCUACUGCACCAACUUUUUCACUUGAUCGGCCAUUGGCAGGUACUGUUUAGCUGUGAAAGUGAACGUUUUUUUUCUAUUUUUCGUUGAAGACAAUAAUGCCCUUUUA